UUUUGUUUGCUUGGGACUGCAG
rnacentral:miRNA from 1 species